GAGGAAUAUUGGUCAAUGGGCGCUAGCCUGAACCAGCCAAGUAGCGUGAAGGAUGAAGGCUCUAUGGGUCGUAAACUUCUUUUAUAUGGGAAUAAAGUGUUCCACGUGUGGGAUUUUGUAUGUACCAUAUGAAUAAGGAUCGGCUAACUAC
rnacentral:rRNA from 1 species